UCGGGAAUUUUGGGCAAUGGGCGAAAGCCUGACCCAGCAACGCCGCGUGAAGGAUGAAGUAUUUCGGUAUGUAAACUUCGAAAGAAUAGGAAGAAUAAAUGACGGUACUAUUUAUAAGGUCCGGCUAACUACGUGCCAGCAGCCGCGGUAAUACGUAGGGACCAAGCGUUGUUCGGAUUUACUGGGCGUAAAGGGCGCGUAGGCGGCAAUUCAAGUCAUCUGUGAAAUCUCCGGGCUUAACUCGGAACGGUCAGAUGAUACUGCUUUGCUAGAGUGCAGAAGGGGCAAUCGGAAUUCUUGGUGUAGCGGUGAAAUGCGUAGAUAUCAAGAGGAACACCAGUGGCGAAGGCGGCGAUCUGGACGGAUACUGACGCUGAGGUGCGAAAGCGUGGGGAGCAAACAGGAUUAGAUACCCACGUAGUCCCUGAGCGGGCUGGCAAGGCGCAU
rnacentral:rRNA from 1 species